rnacentral:rRNA from 1 species
ACGAACCCUUCGGGGUUAGUGGCGCACGGGUGCGUAACGCGUGGGAACCUGCCUUUAGGUUCGGAAUAACAGUGAGAAAUUACUGCUAAUACCGGAUAAUGUCUUCGGACCAAAGAUUUAUCGCCUUUAGAUGGGCCCGCGUUGGAUUAGCUAGUUGGUGGGGUAAAGGCCUACCAAGGCGACGAUCCAUAGCUGGUCUGAGAGGAUGAUCAGCCACACUGGGACUGAGACACGGCCCAGACUCCUACGGGAGGCAGCAGUGGGGAAUAUUGGACAAUGGGCGAAAGCCUGAUCCAGCAAUGCCGCGUGAGUGAUGAAGGCCUUAGGGUUGUAAAGCUCUUUUACUGGGGAUGAUAAUGACAGUACCCAGAGAAUAAGCUCCGGCUAACUCCGUGCCAGCAGCCGCGGUAAUACGGAGGGAGCUAGCGUUGUUCGGAAUUACUGGGCGUAAAGCGCACGUAGGCGGCUUUUUAAGUCAGGGGUGAAAUCCCGGGGCUCAACCCCGGAACUGCCCUUGAAACUGGGAAGCUAGAAUCUU